AUUGAACGCUGGCGGCAGGCUUAACAUAUGCAAGUCGAGCGGGGUGAUGGUGCUUGCACUAUCACUUAGCGGCGGACGGGUGAGUAAUGCUUAGGAAUCUGCCUAUUAGUGGGGGACAACAUCUCGAAAGGUAUGCUAAUACCGCAUACGUCCUACGGGAGAAAGCAGGGGAUCACUUGUGACCUUGCGCUAAUAGAUGAGCCUAAGUCGGAUUAGCUAGUUGGUGGGGUAAAGGCCUACCAAGGCGACGAUCUGUAGCGGGUCUGAGAGGAUGAUCCGCCACACUGGGACUGAGACACGGCCCAGACUCCUACGGGAGGCAGCAGUGGGGAAUAUUGGACAAUGGGGGGAACCCUGAUCCAGCCAUGCCGCGUGUGUGAAGAAGGCCUUAUGGUUGUAAAGCACUUUAAGCGAGGAGGAGGCUCUUUUGGUUAAUACCCAAGAUGAGUGGACGUUACUCGCAGAAUAAGCACCGGCUAACUCUGUGCCAGCCGCCGCAGUAA
rnacentral:rRNA from 1 species